rnacentral:rRNA from 1 species
CUACUCUUGACAUCCAGAGAACUUAUCAGAGAUGCUUUAGUUCCUUUGGGAACUCUGAGACACGGUGUCUGCACUAGGCUGUCGUCAGCUCGUGUUGUGAAAUGUUGGGUUAAGUCCCGCAACGAGCGCAACCCUUAUCCUUUGUUGCCAGCGGUUCGGCCGGGAACUCAAAGGAAACUGCCAGUGAUAAACUGGAGGAAGGGGGGGAUGACGUCAAGUCAUCAUGGCCCUUACGASUAGGGCUACCCACGUGCUACAAUGGCGUAUACAAAGAGAAGCGACCUCGCGAGAGCAAGCGGACCUCAUAAAGUAUGUCGUAGUCCGGAUUGGAGUCUGCAACUCGACUGCAUGAAGUCGGAAUCGCUAGUAAUCGUAGAUCAGAAUGCUACGGUGAAUACGUUCCC